rnacentral:rRNA from 1 species
GAUGAACGCUGGCGGCGUGCUUAACACAUGCAAGUCGAACGGAAUGGCUCCUGCUUGCAGGGGUACUCGAGUGGCGAACGGGUGAGUAACACGUGGGUGAUCUGCCCUGCACUUCGGGAUAAGCCUGGGAAACUGGGUCUAAUACCGGAUAGGACGAUGGUUUGGAUGCCAUUGUGGAAAGUUUUUCGGUGUGGGAUGAGCUCGCGGCCUAUCAGCUUGUUGGUGGGGUAAUGGCCUACCAAGGCGUCGACGGGUAGCCGGCCUGAGAGGGUGUACGGCCACAUUGGGACUGAGAUACGGCCCAGACUCCUACGGGAGGCAGCAGUGGGGAAUAUUGCACAAUGGGCGCAAGCCUGAUGCAGCGACGCCGCGUGGGGGAUGACGGCCUUCGGGUUGUAAACUCCUUUCGCUAGGGACGAAGCGUUUUGUGACGGUACCUGGAGAAGAAGCACCGGCUAACUACGUG